GUUGAAAUCACCUGAAACCUCUCUGAGUUCUCUACACACAGCACUGGGAGCAAACCUUUGGGAGGAUGGGGGAGAUAUUUCAAUUUUUAUCCAAUGCAAGUAAAGCGCAGCACCUCUUUUUCACUAAGCAGAGAACCCCCAGAUGAACUGUAAGAAGUUCCAGAUAUACCUGAUUCUAAUUCAGAUGAGAAGCAUUGGAAGAAAGCAUAGAGUACUUUCUUGAGCAGAGGACAGUCUGAGGGAAAAUGGC
rnacentral:lncRNA from 12 species